GACGAACGCUGGCGGCGUGCUUAAUACAUGCAAGUCAACGACUUUUAGAGUAGCAAUAUUUUAAAAGGAGUGGCGCACGGGUGAGUAACACGUAGGUAAUCUGCCUUCAGGACUGACACAACUCGUCGAAAGACGGGCUAAUAUCAGAUAAUGCAGCGGGCUCCGCAUGGAGACAGUUGUUAAAGUACAAGCGCCUGAAGAUGAGCCUGCGGUCCAUUAGCUAGUUGGUAGAGUAACAGCCUACCAAGGCAACGAUGGAUAGCUGGUCUGAGAGGAUGAUCAGCCACACUGGAACUGAGACACGGUCCAGACUCCUACGGGAGGCAGCAGUAAGGAAUAUUGCUCAAUGGCCGAAAGGCUGAAGCAGCAACGCCGCGUGAAGGA
rnacentral:rRNA from 1 species